CGGCAGUGGUCACGCGCCUGGCCCAGUGCACGGUGAAGCUCGGCCACGUCCAGCGCCCAGGCACGCUCCUCGUCCAGUGUCAGGAAUGUCUUGGUGCCCAUGCCCAGCCUACCACGAUGGCAUCGCUGGCCCCUGUGGACAGGAAGACGUUGUUGGGGUCCGCAGGGAUGCCUCCGUCACGCCUCUCAAUGUACCGCGCCACGUCCUCCCGGAUCAGCUGGAUGCCGGAGCUGACGCUGUAGGCCCCUGGACUCGGGCAGGACAGGAUGGGAAGUACAGAUGCCUGGAGCAAAGGGGAAGGGAGGAGGCUCAUGGACCCUCCCUGCUCAGAGUUCCCCCCGCUCUACGUCCCUCUGUGUUAAAGGUAAAGGCCCUACCUGUGCUCAGGUACCCUCUCCUCCCAAGCCACCUGGCCUCCUCACUCUGCUUCCCUCCUUAGCAGUUCUGCCCUCCUCACUGACCAAGACAUUUCUCUGUGCACACUCUGGGGGGGGGCCCGAGGCCUGCCCUCUCGGCAGGAGGACGAAUGCUGGGGAGGCAGGGACCGCGCUGCCCUGGGCACAUGCCCAUUCCCCUGGAGCCCCAGGCCCUGCUCUCCAUGCCAGGACACAGGCAGGGUCAGCAAAGGUGAAGGCGGGAACACAGGAGGCCGAGAGCCACAGAUACUGCCCAAGAGGAGCCUCCUGAGCGGCCAUCUGAGAGGAAGCCUCUCCCUGCCAAGGACGCCCAACAGGCCCUACCUGGCGAUGAGCAGCUCCACCAGGUGCAGGUGGCCGCAGGUGGCCGCAGCAUGCAGAGGCGUCCAGCACUCACUGUCACAGGCAUUGAUGUUGGCCCCAGCCUCCAGGAGCUGCUGCACCAUCUCUCGGAAAUCAUCAAUGCAGCACUGCAAACCGUGCCACGUGAGCGACCAGAGCACGGGGGCCAGCCCCCACCCUGCCCACACCCAGUGCAGGCUGACCUGGUGCAGGGCCGUCAGGCCGUCCUCGUUGGCCAAGUCAGGGCUGACCCCACUCCCAAGGAACUGGCGGACUGCAAAAAGGUGGCGAGGUGAGGACAGGGUCCUGCCCCUGGUCAGGUCCUGUCAACUGUGCUUCGGCCCAGGACCCAGGGAAGGACAAGGAAGACAGUGGUGCCGAUGGCAGGAGGCACACCAGAGCCCAGGGGUGGGGGCAGAAGCACCAGGCAUCUGUCUGGCCCAGGCCGGUCACACUCCCAGAAGCCCUCUGCCUCCACCCACCUGCAGGCCCUUCAUGGUGGUGCUCCAGCCCUCCGACCCCCAGAACAGGCCGUGCUCCUGUGUGAGAGCAGCACUCCAACAAUCCCACACCUCCCUCCAGCCCAGGAAGAGCUCCCUGCCUGGAGGCUACCACAGCUCCUUCGGCUCUUCCCUGACAACCUGCCAGCCCUGUGUUCAUGAGCUCUCCUGGGUCCUCUGGGACCUGACCUGAGGCUCCCCACCACCAGAGCACAUCCCUGCUCUCACUCCCCUCCCCAUCAAAGAUCCCAACUCGGGCCCAGCUCUCGCCCAGGUCACCAGGGUUCUCCCUGACGGUGCCUGGGGUGCAGCAGGAGGGCUCCCACCUUCCCACAGCUCCCUGUGGACCAUGGCACCCUCCGCCUCUUCCCUCUGCCUCCAGGCCUCCCGGGAGGGCUCCUGUCCACAUGGAAAGAUGCAGGCCAGACACUGCCGGCUCCUCUUUACUCUCUGCUCCGGAGGGAGGCAGGAAGGAGUCUCAAGGGCCACCACAGUGCCUCUUCCCCCAAGACUCCAGAGCACCAGAAGUGGAACCCACACAGCUGGGGCUGCAAGCGUGGGGCACAGGUCAUUUCGGGCAGCGGCCUCCAGAAGGACAACACUGGGAGGGAAGAGGACCUGCUUCAGGAGCCCUUGGCUGGCUGCCUCCUUCCGGGGACGCUCCCCAGGACCCUUCUUGCCCUGGGCCUCCUUCUCAGCCUGGGCCCACAUCUUCACCUGCUGGGCGCGCCGCUUCUGGGCAUGCUUCAGCCGCUCCUGUGUGCUCAUCCUGCCCACCAUGGGCAUCUCUGCCAGCAGCUCCAGGUGCUCGGCCAUGGCGGCGGCUGCUUGCCCACAGGGCUGCUCGGGGCACCAGAGUGGGGAGCUUGGGGGCCAGGCUGGGCCUGAGGGGUGGGGCAGCUAGCUGGACUGGCACCCUCGGGGGCAUCCCCUUCCCAGAGCUUCGUGCCCUUGGCUGGGUCAGGAGGCCCCACACAAUAACCAGGCCCAGGCAGCCCUGGGGGGCAUGGGCCGGGGCAGGGAGGGCAGUGUGGGAGGGCACCCCAAACCUGCUCCCCAGGCCAGCCUCUAGCUGUCGACAAGCAGCGCCUCGCCUCCCUCUCGGGGUCAGGGUGCACAACCUAUGGGAGGCAGCCCCGAGACCUGGCCGGCCUCAGUGCAGGGUCUGAAACUAAUUACCCAGAUAACAAGGUUCCAGCUUCCGGGCACCCUGCUGAGGGGGAAGGGAGGGCAGGGCCAACCAGCAGUGAGAGCCCCUGUGAGCCCCUGAGAGUCCUCUUUUCACCUUCUAGGCUCAGGAGCCUGGGUGGGGCCUGGGAGCAGCCAUGACCCAGCCCCCAACCCCUCCCAGCUGUGUGCCGAGGUCAGUGCAUCAGUACUAACGAGGAGGUGCAGCCGCUGAGGCUGGGGGAGGGCAGGUAGUCAGAGUCCUGGAGUCCUGGCCCCAGGGCCCAGGGGUGAGGCUCUCUAGGCAGCCAGGGCACCAAGGGCACAGGCGGGCCGGCCGCAGUGUCUUCAGGAGCACCUCCUCUUCCAGCAGCUGCUCACACCUGAGAAGUGGGGAACAAGGAAGCAUAUCAAGGCCGGCUUGAGGCAGGGUGGCCCGGGGGAGCCCCUGCCCUGGGCCUCAGGUGAGACCAGGCUUCCAGCUGUCUCAGGUCCUGCCCUGUGUGAGGCCCACCCUUUGUCCACAGAGAGCACUGCAGGUCAACAGUCCUGGGGGUACGGGGAGCUACUCUGCCCCCAUUCUGCCCCAGGUUCAGAGAGGGGCGGGGGAAAGGCAUGUCAGGCUCCUCCCACCCACCCUUUCCAGAAAGGGCCGCCCACCCCAGCGAGGCGUUCCCUGCUAGGCUGCUCCUCCAGGGCCAGGCGCUGCCCUAAGGCUGGGCAGGGUGAGGUCUCGUGGAACAGCCUUGAGGGCUUUGCAGGCUACUGCCUUCCAAGGGCAGGCCCCGCCUCCUGGGCCUCCACCUCUCCUGCCUUCCAAGGGUAGGCCCCGCCUCCUCCUGUCCUGACUGAUACCCCAGCCUCUCACUGCCCAGUCUCUAGACCUCUUCCUUGAUGGGCUCCCACAAUGCCUCUGCCAUCCUAGGCUGCAAUAAAAGCCCCCACCUGGUGCCUGGCUUGAGGCCUAUGGGGACAGACAGGCAGGCAGACAGCUUCGGCUGGGGCACAACCCUGCCUAUGUACCUGCUAUGGCCCUAGUCCUGCCCGACACACUAAGUGUGGUUGCUGGGCUGGCCACAGGCCUCACCUCAGAAGGCACUCUGUGCUUGGCCAGGCGCGGUGGCUCAGGCCUGUAAUCCCAGCACUUUGGGAGGCCAAGGCGGGUGGAUCACGAGGUCAGGAGAUCGAGACCAUCCUAGCUAACAGGGUGAAACCCCAUCUCUGCUAAAAAUACAAAAAAAAUAGCUGGGCGUGGUGGCACGUGCCUGUAGUCCCAGCUACUCGGGAGGCUGAGGCAGGAGAAUGGCGUGAACCAGGGAGGCAGAGCUUGCAAUGAGCCAAGAUCACGCCACUGCACUCCAGCCUGGGUGACAGAGCGAGACUCCGAGAAAGAAAGAAAGGAAGAAAGAAAAGAAAGAAGGCACUCCGUGCUCUGCAGAAGAUGCCUGCCAGGAGUCCUAUUCUCCACCCAGCCAGGCCUCAUGGCCAUCUACACACUGACCCAACUCUUCACUGCUGGACUUCUACCCAGGUGUUUCAUAGAAUGCCCCCUUCUUUCAGAAAGGGAACUGUCCUGGGCCAGGUCAAAUUAAGCCAGUCAGGUCCUUCCUGCUCAGGGGCCCCCAAUUUAUCUGGGAGCCCCACUUUACAGGUUCAGCCUACUCUAGACAUAGUCCCCCCCUGUAGGCCUAGCCUCAGAGGCUUCCUGAGGACACGGCCAAUAAGGCCAGUGGCCCUGACCUGGCUUUCUGCCUGCCAAGUAAAGAGCUUUUCCAGGCAGUAACUCUCCCUCCGAGCAGCCUGCUCCUAAGCCUGGCCAGCUCUGUAGACCGCAGAGGCCAGGGCAAGCACACACUGGCCAGACACCCUGCCCAGGCUCCCAAGUCCUCCCCUUGCCCUCUAGAGACACAGCAUGGGUACCAGAGAGGCAGGAGAGCCAGUCUUGCAGGCAUGCUGCCAGGUCCGCAUCCAUGAGGACAGAGGAGGCAGACCACACCUGGCAUGCCAGAGCCCUCCCUCCCUGCCAGCCACUCACAGCCCACACCCUCUUCCUGACAGGGCUGGCAAGAGGAGAUCCUCACCUUUCUGUCAUUAGCAUCUCUGGACCUGCCAGAGAACCCACCUGGGCAGUAGCUACUCACCCCCACCCCAACCCAAAGAGAUCACAAGCCAAGAGCAAGGCAGGCUGCCCUUGCCCAUCCCCAGUCUCUCUCCAGCCACGGGAAGGAAAGAUUAAGAUUUAACCGUCAGGGAACAGUGGCUCAUGCCAGCACUUUGGGAGGCCAAGGUAGUAAGAUCACUUGAACCCAGGAGUUCAAGGCCAGCCUGGGCAGCAGGGUAAGACCCUGUCUCUACAGAAUAAUUUUAAAAUUAGCUGGUGGCAUGCGCCUGUGGUCCCACCUCCUCGGGAGGCUGAGGUGGGAGGAUCCCUUGAGCCCGGGAGGUAGAGGCUGCAGCGAGCUGAGAUCACACCCUGCACUCCAGCCUGGCAGACAGAGGGCGAUCCUGUCUCAAAAAAAAAGAUUUAACAGACACCACCUACUGUCCCCAGCAUCUUACAGAACAAAAGAUCGGCGGGGCACAGUGGCUCAUACCUGUAAUCCCAGCACUUUGGGAGGCCUAAGCAGGCUGGUCGCUUGAGCCCAAGAGUUCGAGACCAGCCUGGGCAAUACAGCGAGACCCCAUCUCAAUUUAUAUUAUUUAAAAAAUAAUUAAUGUAAGAGAAAUUAAAACAGAUUUUUAAAAAGGAAAAAA